rnacentral:rRNA from 1 species
GACGAACGCUGGCGGCGUGCUUAACACAUGCAAGUCGAACGGUGAAGCGCCUUCCUUUUUGGUGGGUGUGGAUGAGUGGCGAACGGGUGAGUAACACGUGAGUAACCUGCCCCCUUCUUCUGGAUAACCGCAUGAAAGUGUGGCUAAUACGGGAUAUUCUGGGUCUGUCGCAUGAUGGGUCUGGGAAAGAUUUUGUUUCGGUGGGGGAUGGGCUCGCGGCCUAUCAGCUUGUUGGUGGGGUGAUGGCCUACCAAGGCGGUGACGGGUAGCCGGCCUGAGAGGGUGGACGGUCACACUGGGAAUGAGACACGGCCCAGACUCCGACGGGAGGCAGCAGGGGGGAAUAGUGCACAAUGGGCGCAAGCCUGAUGCAGCGACGCCGCGUGAGGGAUGGAGGCCUGCGGGUUGUGAACCUCUUUCGCCAGUGAAGCAGGCCUGCCUCGUUUGUGGGUGGGUUGACGGUAGCUGGAUAAGAAGCGCCGGCUAACUACGUG